GGAUCCAGACUUUGAUUAUGGCUCAGGACGAACGCUGGCGGCGUGCUUAACACAUGCAAGUCGAGCGGGGAUAUUGUUGGAAGGUUUCGGCUGGAAGAUAAUAUUCUAGCGGCAGACGGGUGAGUAACGCGUGAGCAAUCUGUCCCAGACAGGGGGAUAACAGAUGGAAACAUCUGCUAAUACCGCAUAAGACCACGGAUGGGCAUCCAUUUGAGGUAAAAGAGAUAUCGGUUUGGGGUGAGCUCGCGUCCGAUUAGGUAGUUGGUGAGGUAACGGCCCACCAAGCCAGCGAUCGGUAGCCGACCUGAGAGGGUGAUCGGCCACAUUGGAACUGAGACACGGUCCAGACUCCUACGGGAGGCAGCAGUGGGGAAUAUUGGGCAAUGGGCGAAAGCCUGACCCAGCAACGCCGCGUGAAGGAAGAAGGUUUUCGGAUUGUAAACUUCUGUCCUAAGUGACGAAGGAAGUGACGGUAGCUUAGGAGGAAGCCCCGGCUAACUACGUGCCAGCAGCCGCGGUAAUACGUAGGGGGCGAGCGUUGUCCGGAAUGACUGGGCGUAAAGGGCGUGUAGGCGG
rnacentral:rRNA from 1 species